UAGAACGGCCAUGACAAGUUGGAAACACCGGUUCUCGUUCGACCACCAAAGUUAAACAACGUUGGACCCGGUCAGUACUUGCAUGAUUAACCGGCUGGGAAUAUCGAGUGUCACAGUCU
rfam:Schistosoma mattheei strain Denwood, Zambia genome assembly, scaffold: SMTD_scaffold0007376